GAAGUAGUGCCUAUGCGCUAUUUAGUGGCAAACGGGUGAGUAACACGUAGCUUAGCUGUCCUAAAGUGGGGGAUAGCCGCGGGAAGCCGCGGGUAAUACCGCAUGUGAUCUACGGAUUAAAGCUUAAUGCGCUUUAGGAGGUGGCUGCGGCCCAUCAGGUUGUUGGCGGGGUAAUGGCCCACCAAGCCUAUGACGGGUAUCCGGCCUGAGAGGGUGAUCGGACACAUUGGAACUGAGACACGGUCCAGACUCCUACGGGAGGCAGCAGCUAGGAAUUUUCCGCAAUGGACGAAAGUCUGACGGAGCAACGCCGCGUGAAGGAUGAAGGUCUUUAGGGAUUGUAAACUUCUUUUAUAUGAGACGAGUAAGGACGGUAUCAUAAGAAUAAGUCCCGGCUAACUACGUGCCAGCAGCCGCGGUAAUACGUAGGGGGCUAGCGUUGUUCGGAAUUACUGGGUAUAAAGGGUGCGCAGGCGGAUUUCUAAGCAAGAGGUGAAAUGUCAAGGCUCAACCAUGGCACUGCCUUUUGAACUGGUUAUCUGGAGUACAGAAGGGGAGAGCAGAAUUUCCGGUGUAGGGGUGGAAUCUAUAGAUAUCGGAAGGAAUACCGUUCGCGAA
rnacentral:rRNA from 1 species